rnacentral:rRNA from 1 species
GAUGAACGCUGGCGGCGUGCCUAAUACAUGCCAGUCGAGCGAACAGACGAGGAGCUUGCUCCUCUGACGUUAGCGGCGGACGGGUGAGUAACACGUGGAUAACCUACCUAUAAGACUGGGAUAACUUCGGGAAACCGGAGCUAAUACCGGAUAAUAUAUUGAACCGCAUGGUUCAAUAGUGAAAGACGGUUUUGCUGUCACUUAUAGAUGGAUCCGCGCCGCAUUAGCUAGUUGGUAAGGUAACGGCUUACCAAGGCAACGAUGCGUAGCCGACCUGAGAGGGUGAUCGGCCACACUGGAACUGAGACACGGUCCAGACUCCUACGGGAGGCAGCAGUAGGGAAUCUUCCGCAAUGGGUGAAAGCCUGACGGAGCAACGCCGCGUGAGUGAUGAAGGUCUUCGGAUCGUAAAACUCUGUUAUUAGGGAAGAACAAAUGUGUAAGUAACUAUGCACGUCUUGACGGUACCUAAUCAGAAAGCCACGGCUAACUACGUG